GCGAAGCAUCUGCCAGGAUGUUUUCAUUAAUCAAGAACGAAAGUUAGGGGAUCGAAGACGAUCAGAUACCGUCGUAGUCUUAACCAUAAACGAUGCCGACCAGCGAUUAGGAGACGUUGAAUACAAAACACCACCAUCGGUUGCGGUCGUCCUUGGCGUCUCGGUUUCGGCCGGGGCGCGGGGAUGGCUUAGCCCGGUGGCACCGGUGAAUGACUCCCCU
rnacentral:rRNA from 1 species